rnacentral:rRNA from 1 species
GACGAACGCUGGCGGCGCGCCUAACACAUGCAAGUCGAACGAGCGAGAGAGAGCUUGCUUUCUUGAGCGAGUGGCGAACGGGUGAGUAACGCGUGAGGAACCUGCCUCAAAGAGGGGGACAACAGUUGGAAACGACUGCUAAUACCGCAUAAGCCCACGGUGCCGCAUGGCACAGAGGGAAAAGGAGCAAUCCGCUUUGAGAUGGCCUCGCGUCCGAUUAGCUAGUUGGUGAGGUAACGGCCCACCAAGGCGACGAUCGGUAGCCGGACUGAGAGGUUGAACGGCCACAUUGGGACUGAGACACGGCCCAGACUCCUACGGGAGGCAGCAGUGGGGAAUAUUGCAAAAUGGGGGAAACCCUGAUGCAGCGACGCCGCGUGGAGGAAGAAGGUCUUCGGAUUGUAAACUCCUGGUGUUGGGGAAGAUAAUGACGGUACCCAACAAGGAAGUGACGGCUAACUACGUG